rnacentral:rRNA from 1 species
CUACGGGCGGCAGCAGUGAGGAAUAUUGCGCAAUGGGGGAAAAACUGAGGCAGCGACGCCGCGUGGAUGAUGAAGGCCUUCUUUUCGUAAAAUCCGGGCGGGGGGGAAGAAGUGGAUAUAGAUUAAUACUCUAUUUCUUUGACGGUACCACCAAAGGAAGCACCGGCUAACUCCGUGCCAGCAGCCGCGGUAAUACGGAGGGUGCAAACGUUGUUCGGAAUUACUGGGCGUAAAGCGCGCGUAGGCGGUUUGUUAAGUCAGAUGUGAAAGUCCAUGGCUCAACUAUGGAAGUGCAUUUGAAACUGGCAGACUUGAGUACUGGAGGGGGUGAUGGAAUUCCCGGUGUAGAGGUGAAAUUCGUAGAUAUCGGGAGGAAUACCGGUGGCGAAGGCGAUCACCUGGCCAGAUACUGACGCUGAGGUGCGAAAGCGUGGGGCGCCAACAGGAUUAGAUACCCCAGUAGUC